GGGAGGUUGGCUCAGUGGUAGAGCGCUUGCCUCACAUGCAUGAGGCCUGGGUUUAAUUUUUCA
rnacentral:tRNA from 1 species